CAUGCUAGUUGUGCGGGUUUAGACCCGCAGCGGAAAGCUCAGUAACACGUGGCCAAACUACCCUGUGGAUGGGAACAAUCUCGGGAAACUGAGGCUAAUUCCCAAUAACGCUCCACCCCUGGAACGGGCGGAGCUGGAAACGCUACGGCGCCACAGGAUGUGGCUGCGGUCGAUUAGGUAGACGGUGGGGUAACGGCCCACCGUGCCAAUAAUCGGUACGGGUUGUGAGAGCAAGAGCCCGGAGACGGAAUCUGAGACAAGAUUCCGGGCCCUACGGGGCGCAGCAGGCGCGAAACCUUUACACUGUACGCAAGUGCGAUAAGGGGACUCCGAGUGUGAAGGCAUAGAGCCUUCACUUUUGUACACCGUAAGGUGGUGUACGAAUAAGGGCUGGGCAAGACCGGUGCCAGCCGCCGCGGUAAUACCGGCAGCCCGAGUGAUGGCCGAUAUUAUUGGGCCUAAAGCGUCCGUAGCUGGCCGGACAAGUCCGUUGGGAAAUCUGUUCGCUUAACGAGCAGGCGUCCAGCGGAAACUGUUCGGCUUGGGACCGGAAGACCUGAGGGGUACGUCCGGGGUAGGAGUGAAAUCCUGUAAUCCUGGACGGACCACCGGUGGCGAAAGCGCCUCAGGAGGACGGAUCCGACAGUGAGGGACGAAAGCUAGGGUCUCGAACCGGAUUAGAUACCCGGGUAGUCCUAGCUGUAAACGAUGCCCGCUAGGUGUGGCGCAGGCUACGAGCCUGCGCUGUGCCGUAGGGAAGCCGAGAAGCGGGCCGCCUGGGAAGUACGUCUGCAAGGAUGAAACUUAAAGGAAUUGGCGGGGGAGCACUACAACCGGAGGAGCCUGCGGUUUAAUUGGACUCAACGCCGGACAUCUCACCAGCUCCGACAGUAGUAAUGACGGUCAGGUUGAUGACCUUACCCGAUGCUACUGAAAAGAAGUG
rnacentral:rRNA from 1 species